CAGAGAAAAAAAAAAAUCAAAGAUCUAACUAAAGUAACAUCUAACGUAAUACAGGCAGUGCAAAUACCACAACUUUUUAGUUUGAAUAAUGAGUUCCUAGAAACACCGUAUUAGGCAGCUAACAGAACUUCUACUAACAAUGUUGCUAUGGCAAUGUAGCUGGUGUAAAGGAAUUGUAUUAUCAGACAUACGAUGGAGAAAAAGGCCUUUUUUUUUGCCACAAGAAUGCAGCAAAAACACUAGUACAAUUUAGAAGGACUCAUCCUACACACCACUUAAUGGAAGGAGUGACAUUCAUUUGAGAACUGUAAGUAUAGUCAAACUCAUCACAAUAUGCCACAAUUUAUUGAACCUUCCAUCACAAACAACUCCAGAGGUUCACCCAAUAAUAAUGAAACUGCUUUCCCUGAAGUUUAUGAGAGAAAUGCUGACAAAGGCAACAGGUCCCUGCUUUUUAUCAGGUUUCACAAACUUAGAUUUGAACAGUUAAAGUAAAAAUCAUUUAUCAUCAUUUAAUGAUGGCAACCAUCAGAGUGUGCCAUUAUUUACUGAGCCUUCCAUCACAAGCAACUCCAGAGGUUCACCCAAUAAUAAUGCAACUAAUUUCCCUGAAGUCUACGAGAGACCUGUUCACAAAGGCAACAAAUCCCUGCUUUUUUCAUCAGGUUCCACAAAGAAGAGAGCAAAUUGUAGUUGAAAAAUUAAGCCAAAAAACCAGCUAACAAGAAAAUAUCAACACCAUUUACUUCUAAAAUGUAAUGGAUAAAGAUUUUGCAAAGGGAAAUGCAUAGAAAAAUGGAUACAACUGCAAAUGGCAAAACUAGCUCUUCAACCAUUUUUUUUUAAUAUUUUAAGGAAAAUUUUAAAUACCAAUUUAUCAGAGAAACAAAUUUACCAUGAUUUACUGAACCUUCAAUCACCAAGAACAAUAUGGGUUCACCCAUGAAGAAUGUCAGGAUUUCCCUGAAGCAAGCAAUAAGCCCUUUCAUAAAGGUAUAAUAGAAUUCUGCUUUUUCUCAUCAGGUUUUACAACAAGAAAAAACAAAACUGAUCAUAUUUUUUUGUUUCCCUUUAUUUAGUAGCUAAAUUGACGAUAACAUGAAAAGGAAGGAAAAACGAGGCAAAGAUCAAACCAACCCUGUCAUGAUGUAACUGGAUUGGAAAUGAACCUUAUUCCCCGAUAUCACAAAGAAAAACCCAAUAUUUUUGCCAUGAAAAAAUUUCAGGAGAACCUUAGUAAAACUUGGACAGAAAUUAAACUCAAAUACCACUUUAAAGAAAGCAUAACACUCAGUUAUGAACAACAAUCAGUUGAUGAAACUCAUUAUAAUGUAACACUAUUUACUGAACCUUCAAUCACAGACAAAACUCAGGAGGUUCACCCAAUAACAAUGCAACUAAUUUCCCUGAAGUUUACGAGAGGACCAUCCAUAAAAAUCGACAGGCCCCUGCUUUUUUCCUCAGGUUUCGCCAUAAACACAACAACUCAUAGUUAAACAACCCAGACAAAUAAACCAGUUACUCAAAAACAUUGAUUCUAUAGCGCAUGCCAUGCAAUGAACCGUCCGUUUAAGCAUUCUCAUCAUCUUUAAUAAUUCAAACACAAAAAUUACAUGAAAAACUCUGCCACAAGAGAAAUAGAAGGAACGAAAAAUCUGAAGAGAUCAUAAUACCUUGAAGUGAACUCUGAGAUCUAAGCCCCUGGCCUUGCAAGCUGUGGCACCAAAACAGCAAUCAUAAGAUGCACAGAAAACAACACUACGUAAUUUUAGCUAUUGAAUCAGACACCCGAGAUCCCAUCUCAGGAAAACCAAAUGUUCAGAAAACAAAACACAAAUGCCCUGUUUAUUCGCUAAGAAAUUGCGAAAAAGUAAAGAAAAAAAAAAUCUUGAAUCCUUAAACCAGAAAAUCCAGCUCCAAGAUAUAACAGAACUCCGAGUUUUUAUUUCAUUUCCUCUACAGCCAAACAGGUAGAGACAUUUGCAAAACGCAAAAAGGCUAACAAGAAAUCGAAGUGCUUACACUUGGUGGGAUUGUCUGGCUCUCUGGAGUACUUCACCUGAAAAAAUACGCCAAACAGAUGAUCAUUUAUAGAGCUACAAAGAACAAGAGGAAUGAAUGAGGAAAAAAAAAAAAGGGCACUACCAUGGCGGCUUAUGAUGCUGCUGCUUCCUCCUCCCUCAGACAAGUCGAUGAUUUUCCUCGAGAAGAUGAGCUUAAACCCUAACCCUUCUAAAGUGGGCUGGGCUGGGCUAGGCCAAUGGGCCCAAAAUGGGAUCUUGAUACCUAAUAGCAUUACUUAAAAUUAAAUUUGCUUUAGAUUACAUUUUCUAAGUUGUGCCCUCAUCCGAAGAUGAUGAACCUAGGAAUAACUAAAAUUGAUUUUAAAUAUAUUCAUUAUAUUUUAAGCAUGAAAUUUCAAAUGCAUUAGGGAUCUCAAAUUUAAAUGGUCCAAUCAAUCCAUUUAGACCAAAUGAAAUUACCCUCAACAAGCUUGAUUUGAUUUAGUCUUUUUCAUCACCAAAUGGGUCCAAUCUUCUUUACAAUAUUUAAUAUUGAUGUAUUAAAAUAAUUGUAAUCUCUUAAUAUUAAUGCAUCACUAUUUUUGAUAUGUCAUUAUAUCAGCAUUCUUAACUUUUAAAAGUACAGAAUUGAUUUUUAAUAUUACCAUAUUAAUUAAUAUGAUAUUAUAUCAAUUUAAAACAAAUAUAAUAAUUUGGUAAAAAUAUUUUUGUAGAAAUCUUGAUUCAUGGAGAGGAAACAAAAAUGGGUUACCCAUUUUUGGUUGUAAGUUUUGUCAAAGUGAAAGUGAAACCCACACUUGUAUAAUUCUUGAAGGGGAAUGAAAAGUUGGUAUCCAAACAAAAGGGAGGGACCUUUUUCAUUUCAUUCCAUAGGAAUGAAUCCCACUUCAAGUUUUUAAUUUUAGUAUAAACCAAAUAUCUUGGAGGCCAAUCUUUUCUCACAAGGAACUCUGCAAUGAAGCUCAGCCAAUUGAAAGCAGCAAUCCCACAAAGAAAAUUGAGUCAACUAUGAUGGCAAAGAACCCCAUGACACCUCAUAUAUGAUGAAUGUAUGUUUAGUGGCUUAAAUGAAAGUAGUUUUUCAGAACGAAUUCAUUUUUAUUCCUAUGCUCCUUGCAAAUGAUCCUAUUGUUUGUUAUAAACAGCCACAUUUGAUUACAAAGGCUACAUGUAAUCAUCUUAUUUUCGCAGUAAAAAUAGUCAGAAUGCUAGCACAAAGUUGAGAAAUAUAAUAUGAAAAAGGACAGCUUAUGCAGAGAUGAGAAAUAACCAUGUGAGCAUUGAACCAAACUUCUUGAUGAUUUGCACCAAAUGAAAGACUUUUUGGCCAAAAUAACCAUGGUUUGCAAUUAAUCGACUUGAUUAGGUCCAUUUAUAAGAGGACAAAACUAGGGUUAUUUCGGGGGUAUCUUCAUCUAAAAUUUCCAUAACUUUCCAAAAUACUCAACAAAAUUCUGAAAACAAAACAAAGUGGCUCAAAGACUCUCAAUAACCCCUGACUUUAUAUUAAGACAACAAACUCAUCUUAAAAUGAAAGAGUGACAAUUAAAAUUGGCAUGAAAAUUUCUUGAAGAGUUUACUAGCUCUAUCAUCAGAUUGCAAUUCGAGUAGAAGCACCACCGCGCAGAGACUUCUUGGAUUUGCCUGUCGCCAACUGAGUUUCAGGCUGCAAAACCCACCAAGAGUAGUAAGAUACUAAUCAAAACCAGGGCAACUAAUUUCUCCUAUAUUGCUCUCCCUUUGGGUUCUAUUCUUGAUGCAAUGACUAAUGAAUUACCUCCUUUUUAACAGGUUCUUCCUUUUCAGACAAAAUCAACUCAAUAUGGCAUGGUGAUGACAUAUAUGCUGCCAAACAAAUAGAAGGUUCCUGUUAACAUUUAGGAAAACAACCAUUACACAAAUGCUAGAUUUGAAAGGAAACAAACUUACGGUUGAUUCUUCCAUGAGCCCGGUAUGUGCGGCGCCUUUGUUUCUGUGCCUGGUUCACUUGGAUGUGAGAUAUGUAGAGUGAAUCAACAUCCAGACCUUUCAACUGUAAGAAUUGACAUUUAUUAGUUAGUUGGAAUUAUAGACAAAGCAGAGAAUACAUGGUGAAGGGCAAUUGAAUACAUACAUCAGCAUUACUCUCAGCAUUCUUAAGCAAAUCUAGGAUGAAUUUAGCAGAUUUGACAGGCCAGCGUCCUUGUCCAUUCGAAUGCCUGUUCUUUGCCUGAGCAGUUCGCCCAACACCUCUACAGAAGCGGGUGAAAGGUAUGGCUUGCUUGUGGACCAGAACAUCCUCCAAAUACCUUUUGGCCUUGGCCAAAGGCAACUUCCUAAUGGCAUGAGCAGUCUCCCUUGUGUUCUAUUGACACAAUAUAGAAAUGAGAAAUACAAUGAUGUGAGUUCACAAUAAACUCAGAUUUUCAGAGAGAAGGAUACAAAAAUGAACAACAUGAUAUCCAAAAAAAGAGAUGGGAGGAAAAGGAGACCCUGGUUGGACAAGAAGCAGGUGUACAGUGAUCUGCAACUUGAUACCAGCCUGGACCUAGCCUCUGGUCAAAAACCUAUGCUUGAAACCAAGCAAGGGUGACCUCAAAAGCCAAAAUAGCCUGGCUUACAAAUUACAUUAUAUAAUAAUAUAAUGAUAUAGUACAAUUAAAAAUUGCAUCAGUAUCUUUUUUGGCCAUCUUUAUAGGUAACAAACUGACCAUAACCAAUCAGACUAAUCCAGGUUUUAUAAUGCAAUCAUAUUCAGAGGAACAGCAACAAAAACAUCAAAGAUCUAACUAAAGGAACAUCUAACUUAAUAUAGACAGUGUAAAUACCACAACUAUAUAGUUUAAAUAACGAGUUAUUAGAAACACUAUGUUAGGAAGCUAACAGAACUUCAAAUAACAAUUUUGCAAUGGGAAUGCAGCUGGUGUGUGAAGGAAUCAUGUUAACAGACAUACCAUAGAGAAAGGCCAAUUUUUUGCCACAAGAAUGCAGUGAAGACACUAGUACAACUUAAAAUAAGAACUAUCCUACAGACCACUUAACAGAAAGAGUGACAUUCAUUUGAGAAUUGUAGGUGUAGUCAAACUCAUCACAAUGUGCCAUUAUUUACUGAGCCUUCCAUCACAAAAAACUCCAGAGGUUCACCCAAUAAUAAUGCAACUAAUUUCCCUGAAGUUUACGAGAGACCUGUCCACAAAGGCAACAAGCCCCUGCUUUUUUCAUCAGGUUUCGCAAACAAGACAAAAAUUUAGAUUUGAACAGUUAAAAGUAAAAAACAUUUGUCAUUAUUUACUGAUGGCAACCAUCACAAUGUGCCAUUAUUUACUGAGCCUUCCAUCACAAAAAACUCCAGAGGUUCACCCAAUAAUAAUGCAACUAAUUUCCCUGAAGUUUACGAGAGACCUGUCCACAAAGGCAACAAGCCCCUGCUUUUUUCAUCAGGUUUCGCAAAACAAGACAACAAUUUAGAUUUGAACAGUUCAAGUAAAAACCAUUUGUCAUUAUUUACUGAUGGCAACCAUCACAAUGUGCCAUUAUUUACUGAGCCUUCCAUCACAAUAAACUCCAGAGGUUCACCCAAUAAUAAUGCAACUAAUUUCCCUGAAGUUUACAAGAGACCUGUCCACAAAGGCAACAAGUCCCUGCUUUUUUCAUCAGGUUUUGCAAACAAGAAAACAAUUUAUAUUUGAACAAUCAAAGCAAAAGAUCAGUUAAUGAGAAAAUAUCAAAACCAUCUAUUUAUGCAAUGGAUAAUGAUUUUGCAAAGGGAAAUGCAGAUAAAAAGGGAUACAACAGCAAAAGACAAAACUAGCACUUCAAGAAUUUUUUUUUAAAAUAUUCUAAGAAUAAUUUUACAUACCAAUUUAUCAGAGAAACAAAUUUAGCAUCAUUUGCUGAAUCUUCAACCACCAAGAAAACAGGUUCAGCCACGAAGAAUGUGAGGAUUUCCCCCAAGUUUACAAUAAUCCCAUUCACAAAGGUAACAGAAAUAUGUUUUUUCCAUCAGGUUUUACAAUCAAGGAGAAACAAAACUAAUGAUACUUUUCACUUUCCCUUAAUCUGGUAGCAAAAAUUUACCAUAACAUGCUAAAUCUAACUAUAGAUUUUAUAUUUUAAUAAUAAGCAGAAAGGCAGGGAAACUUUAAUUUUUCUAUCAAAAAAAUAUAAGCACGGGAAAAAACAAAGCAAAGAUCAAACCAACCCACAUAAACUAAACAUAGAUAAUAGGAAAAAUAAAAAAACUUGUAUUCAUAUAAAUGAUGUCUAGAAACACUAUGUCAAUCAAACCAUACCAGAAGAAUGCAGACAAUAGUAUUGUCAUCACAAUAUAACCAGAUUGGAAAUGAUCUAACAAAUGUCACAAAGAAAGCCCCAAUAUUUUUUUCAUAAAGAAUACCAGGAGAACACCACUAAAACUUGGAAGAAAUUUAAAAUCAGAUACCGCUAAAAAGAAAGCAACACGCACUUAAGAACAACAAUCAGUUGAUGAAACUCAUCAUAAUGUACCAUUAUUUACUGAACCUUCAAUCACAAACAAUACUCAUGUGGUUCACCCAAUAACAAUGCAACUAAUUUCCCUGAAGUUUACGAGAGACCCAUUCACAAAAGGCAACAG
rnacentral:lncRNA from 1 species